rnacentral:lncRNA from 1 species
GCAAUGCCAGCAAUGGGAUAAGCUGGCAGGAAACCUCCCUGAAUGUCACUGUAGCAGGUCUCUCCCCUCCUUUGCAGGAUGUGCUGAGGAUUGCGGUGGUUGCUGUGGUCUUUGCUGCUGUCUCGGGAUGCGGAUUAAUUAUUCCCGUCUGCCAGUCUGAAAAGCUAAGAAUAAGGGGAGAGCUGUGGAGAUGGCUCAGUGCCUACACCUGCGGGCUGGUGUGCAUCGCCUCCAUCCUGGCCGCCACUGCCGGGAUCCUCUGGAUGCGAGAGGAAGGCCCUUCUAUUGCAAUCAUAUUGCCAGAGAUCGCCCUUACCUAUGUGAUCGUGGUAACCUUCCUGGUCUCGGCCACCGUGACCUUCUGGCCUACAAAGCUCCUCCAACUGAAAAGCAAAACAGCACAGCACACAAUGGGCUACGCUGCUCCCGGAGGAGUGGUUUCAGUGGUACUGACGAUCAGCUUCCUCAUAAAGAACAUCCACCUUCGCCAUGAAGAAGGGUGCACAGAGUUCGUGGAUGUGACCACCCUCACAGUCAGCACAGCAGCCGUGUCAGCCCUCCCACUCCUUGCCAUCUUCCUCUGCUACUUGUCCUUCCGCAGAUCACACGACUCAGGGGUGGAUGAAGGAACAUGACUCCAGCUGGGCGGAC